rnacentral:lncRNA from 1 species
AGAUAUGUCUCAAUGCCCCCAUAGGCAGAUCCAAGACAAGAGUCCGUCACCUGGGUGAUCAGUGCAGAAAUAUGUGACAAUGCCCCCAAUAGGCAGAACCUAGAGAAGAGUCCCAUCACCUGGGUGAUCAGUGCAGAGUUAUACCACAAAGCCCCCUGUAGGCAGAGCCUAGACAAGAGUUACAUCACCUGGUUGAUUACUGUAGAGAUAUGUCACAAUGCCACUGUAGGCAGAGCCUAGACAAAAGUCCCAUCACCUGGGUGAUCAGUGCAGAGAUAUGUCACAAAGCUCCUGUAGGCAG